CCUCCAGCCCAGCCCAGGAGAAAGGAGGUCGGCGGGAGGUGGAGGAAGGCUGAAAACCCUCUCCCAGCAGAGGAGAUGGCAGCAGCCGCCCAGCUGGAGAGACUCCAGCCUGACCACCUUUCCCCACGAGCGGCCCAGGUCCUCAGAAGGCUGGAGCCGCAUCAAGGACGGAGGACCAUCUUCAGGCACGUCACUGAGAACAACCGGCGGAAGCUGGAGCAGCAGAGGCAGCUCCCCUGCACGCGAUGCUGGUACCGCAGCGGAG